rnacentral:tRNA from 1 species
GCUGGCGUAGCUCAAUUGGCAGAGCACGGGUUUUGUAAACCCGCGGUUGGGGGUUCGAUUCCCUUCGCCAGCUCCA